UUUACACGAACGCCCUUCCAGGACUCUGUCUGCUUUUGGGGUGGAAGUGCCCUGCCAAAAACUCCAGCUCUCCAUGCUGGCUGUGUGGCCAGCAUACCUCCUGCCUUUUCAACGAUUCCUCUGCCCUGGAUAGAGAGCGGUGUCUCAUAACAGUUUGGAAACUACAAAAGUUUCCCUGGCAGGAUGAAUGAUUGACUCGGCAACAUGUUCUUGCCUUUUGGAGUUGCCCUCCAAUUUUUCCAGGCUUGAUUCUGUAAAUCAUUUCAUCUUGUAAAAAUACUGGGCUGUGAGCACGGAUGAUCUCAAAGAUGAGGAAACAGAAGCUGGGAUAUGUGAGUAAACAUUUCCAAGGUCCUGCAGCUAAUCAAUGGUUGACAACUUCUUUCCUCUGCCUAUGUUGCCAUCCAUGUCAUGGUUUGUGUCAAGACUCUAGGAGAAGUCUACCAUCAGCACCACAGCUACUGUGCACAAAUCCAGAAUGCCAGACUGAAGUCAGAAGGAAAGAUCCUUUAUAUAUUGAAAGAAGAAAGUAGAACCAUUUCUGGGUCCCAGCUGUGGGAAGAGCUCCUGUGGCUGUGAAUUCUGACUUCUGGGUCUUGGCACAAGGUGUGGCCAGCAAGCUAAGCUGUCCUGAGGGUGUGCAGGGCCAGGGGCUGAAGACAGUGUUGGAGCAUCCACAGACUGGUUUGUCUCAAGAAGCAUGUUACUAAAUAUGAAAUAGCAAAAUCUGCAAGUGGGUUUACUUUUCCCCCAUAGAUUAGAAUGGAUUCAAUAUUAUCUCUUUAUUAGCGUCACUUUUAAUCACUUGUAUAACAAGUAGGACAGAAAGGUGGCUUGAAAGUCAAUCAUGUGAGAAUUCCAGAUAAAUUGACUUUGCUCACAACAAUCUGUUAUUCAUGUGACUAUCAACUGUCAUGUGUGCUGGGGCAAAAAAAGAAGAUAAGGAUUCACUGGUAUCAGAUAGUUCCAGGAGGGGAAACCCAGGAUUGAACUUUUUCAGCCUUCUAUGGUAAAAUUUCCUGCUCUGUCGGUGCGCCAAAGCUUUUUUCAGUUUCCUAAACUCCCAUAUUCAAGAAGAUAAGCUAUUUUCUCUUCUUUCUCAUCCUUCCUUGACAAAGCAAAGCAUAUUUUCAUUGUCUACUCUGUGUCAUCCAUGCUUGGUUCCUGUCCUCAAAGAGCUUAUAGUUCAAAUAAAGGAGAGGGAGCAUUUUACAAGGGAAUUAAAGGUAAAAGAUUCUGAAAGCCAGUUUAAAAAGUCGUGAGGGAGGGGUCUGGGAGAAGCUGAGCAGGGGUGAAAGGGUACGAAACAUUAUGGAAGGAGAACAGGGGAGCACCCUGACUACUGGGUGGAAACACCAAUCAGUGGGUAGAAACCACACAGUGGUAACACUGAUCAGUGGGUAGAAAACAAUGACAGCAGGUAUAUGAGGCAUGGAACACUUGGCUUAUUGUAAAGUUUUCAAAAUAUGCAGUCCUUUCUAUCCACCAGGGGUUGGGAGUUGUCUUUGUAUAUCAACCGUGGAAGGGCUGUUUUGGUUCAUCAUUCUGUGGUCUACCUGGGUAGACCUGAUGCAGCCGUGUUUCUGAGGAAAGGAAGAACAGCUUUUGUUUUGUGAUAUGUAAUGGUAGAUGUAGUGCCAUGGAAUGAUGCAGAUUUCAUUCAGAUAUUCUUGGAUCUUGGCCCCAGGACUCACUCAUUCUUCCCUAUAUGAGCAUUGGUAGUUACAGGUUUUAUCCUUCCUUUAAUUGUAAGUCUUUUGAAGCCAAAAACUGUAUCCAAUUUGUCACUGUCUCCUAACAGUACUUAGCAGUGUCUGAUGCAUCAUAGGGAGUUUGUAAAUGUUUGGAUAAAUAAAGGGAAAACAAAAAC
rnacentral:lncRNA from 1 species